AUGUUGCAGCCCGCCUGAGAUCUACACGACUAAGAAAUACCACGCCGUGCCAGCAAACGUCUGGGCUCUAGGUUCUGUGCUGUACUUCAUGGUGCAUGGAGAUUACUCUAAUUUAAAGAACUUUUAUUCCGGGAAUCUGCAGACAACUGAGAAGGAUUUAUCAAAGGAAAUCUAUGAUCUGUUAAGAUGGUGCCUGGCCCUGAAUCCAAGUGAUCGUCCGACGCUCAAGGAGAUCUUAGAUCAUGACUGGUUUAAAACUGAGUCUGACGAAGAAGAGCUACUCGUAUACAAAAUGAGUGCACUAUCCACGGAAAAGUAAGAAGCUGAAUGACUGAAGGAGAGGGAAAUGAUUAAAGAUGCUGUUUUCAUCAUCCUGAGACUUUCUACAACCAGAAACCAUUACAAGAGAGACGAGACAUUAUUUAAAACAGGAAUUUCUCAGGAGUUACACAUUUUUAGGAACUUUCUGCAUAAUGUUGUAUUUCAGACUUCAUGAACACAGACCGCUGGCUGAACGUCUGAUGCAGAUCCUGUCUCAUCCUUGAACACAUUAAAAAAAAAAAUUU